GAUGAAGAACGCAGCGAACUGCGAUAAGUAAUGUGAAUUGCAGAAUUCAGUGAAUCAUCGAGUCUUUGAACGCACAUUGCGCCCCCUGGCAUUCCGGGGGGCAUGCCUGUCCGAGCGUCAUUGCUGCCCUUCAAGCCCGGCUUGUGUGUUGGGUCGUCGUCCCCCCCGGGGGACGGGCCCGAAAGGCAGCGGCGGCACCGCGUCCGGUCCUCGAGCGUGUGGGGCUUUGUCACCCGCUCGAUUAGGGCCGGCCGGGCGCCAGCCGGCGUCUCCAACCUUCUAUUUUACCAGGUUGACCUCGGAUCAGGUAGGGAUACCCGCUGAACUUAAGCAUAUCAAUAAGCGGAGGA
rnacentral:misc_RNA from 1 species